UACGGAGGGUGCAAACGUUGCUCGGAAUUAUUGGGCGUAAAGCGCACGUAGGCGGUUCGUUAUGUCGGAUGUGAAAGCCCCGGGCUUAACCCGGGAAGGGCAUCCGAAACUGGCGGGCUUGAGUACGGAAGAGGGUCUCGGAAUUCCCGGUGUAGAGGUGAAAUUCGUAGAUAUCGGGAGGAACACCAGUGGCGAAGGCGGAGACCUGGGCCGAGUACUGACGCUGAGGUGCGAAAGCGUGGGGAGCAAACAGGG
rnacentral:rRNA from 1 species